CCAAAGGCUCUUUUCAGAGCCACAAAACAAAACAAAACAAAACAAA
rfam:Tupaia chinensis contig180042, whole genome shotgun sequence.